CAGCAGAAUACAUGUAGCGCUGAGUCAUAUCGUGUUAAGGCACACUCUAAACUGACUUUUAAGGGCAUCCCGAGCGGUUUUUCGUUUAUUACGCCGCCGUUACCCUAAGUUAAAUUGUGCCGCCGCGCUCCAGCUGUUGCAUUUCGUGUAGGGCUACUGACAGAAUGCGGUUUCCAGGUGGCACGAUGGCCUCUACUGAAAUAAACGCACACGACACCAAAGAUAUGAGUAAGCCUGAAAAUAUUUUAUUUGCAUUUUACAAGUACAACAAAAAGCACACGUCUACGCAUCCACACAAACGCGGUUACAUGGUCAAGAACAUAGUCAAGAAAUGGCUCAUUAAUAAGGGUAGCACAAACGCACAAGAAAGAAGACCUAAGCUACAAAACGUACGGUCGGCUGCUAAGUAUAAUAAUUUCCCUGUCACCGCGUGUCACUUUCAUACAGCAUCUUUACAGCACUACCAGGCCGGGUAGUUUGGCGGAAAGAACGCAACAGCUUAUACGGCCGUCAGCUGCCUCUUCCUUACGGGUGUCAUAAUUAUCCUAAUCUCCGCAUCAACGUCGUGCAAGUUCGCAUACAGGUAUCUGUAUCUGAACCAUAUGUGCCAGCUUAAUACACGUGUAGUGAAAUUAUGAUAACCACUGCGUCUUAUCAAACGUAUUGGUUUUGCAAAUGCGCAUUACAGCUGACGGAACGACAUACUGUAAGUGAAGCACAAGAGAGCAAGGACAAAAGGAGGAUACAACACUUGAAGAAAUGAAGAAUUAGUAGGCAUACAGCAAACAAGCGAUGACGGAGAACACACAAUGAUGCAUCGGGUGUUCUGUGACAUCGGUUUGCGUACUUGCGGUGUUAUGGAGAUCAACGGCAUAAAAACGUACCUUCAAGCGUGCUCCCUCAACCUCCGCCGCAUUCAUUAUGAUAAUCAACGCCUAAACAAAAUGAGGCACUAUUCUUUGCCAAGAGUAGACCUUUUUACAGCAAGUCUAUGUAAUGACUCGCAGACGAAACCAGCAUGCUUUCGGAAAUGUUUUACCGCCGUAGUAUUCGAACGCCAACGGCCAGGAAACACAUCGAUACCAAUAGGCUGUCGGCUGUCGGUGGUUAAUCGAGCACAAAAACCUUGACGCUAUGACUAAAAAGCAGCUUCAACAAUCAAAUUUUAAAGAAAUCAACUGCCUAUUUGCCUGAGGUAAAAAAGCAUCCUUAGACACCUCGAUUGUUCAUGUCAAUGGUUUGUGUAAAUUAAAAAAUUCAGCAUGUUUAGCGCCCCUAGCAGAGAAAGCACGAAUUAAAGUAUUCGACCAAAUUACAGUAGCUCCACUUGCGCGCUUACGCUGAAACGCGCCUCGAUUGAUUUUUCGCCCUCUGUGGCCAUUUGUUGAACUUGAGAGUGUGCGGGGCCUGGUCGCGUACGCUGGUACGCGCCGUGCUUGCCCUGCAGGCUAUGCGGCAUGCCUCAAUGCCUUCGCUGCCGCGUAGGUGGUGCGUUCUAAUUGCCAAGAGCCUCUACUGACGCCCAUACAAACAAGCCACAAAACUGGCACUCCUGUAAAGAAAUGUGGUCCAGUGAAUACAUUGUUGCGCCAAAAAAAUCCAACCCAACCAACUCGCCCAGCAACAAGUUCUACUCAAAGAAAUGUCCACUAGAUGUACCAGCUGCAUGCAUUCACACUACCAUCAAGUCAUCAGGAGCCUCUGUACCUCUAUCUAAAUACAUUAUUGUCUAAGAUGGAAAAUCAGACUUGUAUAUUUUGCUGUAAUGGUUCUGCCAAUAAAAGACUGAUUAUACAUAUUUA